GACGAACGCUGGCGGCGUGCCUCACACAUGCAAGUCGAACGGGGAUAUAUUGAAAGCUUGCUUUUGAUAUAUCCUAGUGGCGAACGGGUGAGUAACACGUGAGCAACCUGCCCGACAAACCGGGAUAACAGCGGGAAACUGCUGCUAAUACCGGAUACACCAGGUAUGGCGCAUGCUGUAUCUGGGAAAGGGUUUACCGAUGUCGGAUGGACUCGCGUCCCAUUAGCUAGUUGGUGAGGUAACGGCUCACCAAGGCGACGAUGGGUAGCUGGUCUGAGAGGACGAUCAGCCACACUGGAACUGAGACACGGUCCAGACUCCUACGGGAGGCAGCAGUGGGGAAUCUUGCACAAUGGGCGAAAGCCUGAUGCAGCGACGCCGCGUGGAGGAUGAAGGCCUUCGGGUCGUAAACUCCUGUCUGGGGGAGUGAACACUGACAGUACCCCGGACGGAAGCCCGGCUAACUACGUGCCAGCAGCCGCGGUAA
rnacentral:rRNA from 1 species